AGUGAACGCUGGCGGUAGGCCUAACACAUGCAAGUCGAACGGCAGCACAGUAAGAGCUUGCUCUUACGGGUGGCGAGUGGCGGACGGGUGAGGAAUACAUCGGAAUCUACUUUUUCGUGGGGGAUAACGUAGGGAAACUUACGCUAAUACCGCAUACGACCUACGGGUGAAAGCAGGAGAUCUUCGGACCUUGCGCGACUGAAUGAGCCGAUGUCGGAUUAGCUAGUUGGCGGGGUAAAGGCCCACCAAGGCGACGAUCCGUAGCUGGUCUGAGAGGAUGAUCAGCCACACUGGAACUGAGACACGGUCCAGACUCCUACGGGAGGCAGCAGUGGGGAAUAUUGGACAAUGGGCGAAAGCCUGACCCAGCCAUACCGCGUGGGUGAAGAAGGCCUUCGGGUCGUAAAGCCCUUUUGUUGGGAAAGAAAAGCAGCAGGUUAAUCCCCCGCUGUUCUGACGGUACCCAAAGAAUAAGCACCGGCCAACUUCGUG
rnacentral:rRNA from 1 species